rnacentral:rRNA from 1 species
UACGUAGGGGGCUAGCGUUGUCCGGAUUCAUUGGGCGUAAAGCGCGUGUAGGCGGCUUUACAGGUCCGCUGUGAAAACUUGAGGCUCAACCUCGAGACGUCGGCGGAAACCGUAUGGCUAGAGUCCGGAAGAGGAGAGUGGAAUUCCUGGUGUAGCGGUGAAAUGCGCAGAUAUCAGGAAGAACACCCGUGGCGAAGGCGGCUCUCUGGGACGGUACUGACGCUGAGACGCGAAAGCUAGGGGAGCAAACAGG